UUGAUCACUCAAAAGGCAAGCUUAUUAAGAAAAAGAAAAUGGUGUUUGCUGGUUAACCCACUUGAAGUGACUUUUACGAUCCGUAUCUGUAUCUGGCAUCAGUAUCUUCCUUUUAAUUCGGAGCGACAUUAAUUGGCUCGCGAGCAACAAAUUCAGAUCACGUUAACCCAUUGGCGCGCCUACAAAAUUGCCGUCGCCUUCUGUGCAGAAGCACAGCAGCAACAACAGCAACAACAGCAACAACAAGACGACAACCGCAGCAGCAAGUUCUCCCAUGGGCGGGGAAAAUGGUGGAAAAAAGGGGGGUCCGCAAGUAGCAACCUUUUUCGAGGCGGGCUCACUGGCGCUAAGCGAGCUAUAGAGAGAGGGAGAGAGAGAGAAAGAGUGCGCCCAGAAAGAGUGAGACAGAGUGCACGGAAAAGUUGCCCCAAAUGGCCGCAAGCAAAAGCGGGAGGGCAAGAUGAUGCCAAAGCCAACUCCCCGAAAAAGUGCCCCCACUCCACCCAACACCCCCUCGAAACAUCCCCAAGCCCAUACCCACCAUGGUCGUUAGUCGCAGUCGAUCCAAAUCCAGAAACAACGCCAGUCUUUGUUUAACGAUUUUUAUAUUUCGAACACGAGAUAUAUUUGUAUCCUUUGUACUUUGCUUGUUGCCACAGAGUACGAGUAUCUGUGUGUCGAGCCAUGUAGUUGUAUCUGUAGUCGUACGGCUUGUAUUGAUGGCUUCGCCUCGCUUCGUUGGGCUUCGUAUCUUGGGGAUAUGUAGCUACCACACCCCUACCCCCUUCCCCUUCACGAGCAACGAAUGUAUCUCUUCUUGUUUGCAGAUAGCUCGUCGAGAGCUGCGGAGCAAAAGACCAGGCCAAUGAUGAUUGUGAGUCGAGAGCGCCAAGCCGAGCCGAGCCAAGCCAAGUCAAGCACACCAUUUUUGCCCGUAUCUAUGUAUCUUUGUAUCUGGAAGCGCGUGUUGCGGUGCGGAGUGCGUACGCGAGUACGCUGGUACGCUAGUACGCGUCUCUACAAACGUCGACAUGAAUUUUAAUCUAAUAGAUACAAAUGAAAAGGUGUUUGUGUGCUCCGCUCCGGUGUAAUCGCUUUGACUCGCCGGGCUUUUUGGGGCGUAUAGUUGCGGUCGGGCGCAGUGCGGGUAUUGAUUCGUUUUUAGCCUUCGGUUUGGGGAUUUUAUUGCCUUCCCCCCAGUUGCCCCUCCCCACACUCCCAUUUCCCAUUUCCCGCAGGACUUAUCUUGGGAGUUCCCUUGAGCCUGCGGUUAUGCCUGCUGGCGCGUCUGCUGGAUUUUGCCUCUUUAUACAAUGUUUUUGAUUGAUUUUCUUCGAGGAGGUCUACUGAAGAGCAGUGAAAACUUGUAUUAAGUACCGAAAUUGGGGAUUCUUAUUGCAAGAAAGUAGUGAGUGGGUGUGUGGGGGUAAGGGACUUCAGACACUUGUUCUGAAAUAUAAUGGUAAAUAAAAGGGACUUUGAUUGGUUUUAAUGUAACCAAUAUGGAGUUGUUAGAAAAUUAAAGCCUUUGGAGAUUUAGAAAUUAGCUUGAAUAAGGGAAAUGUUUAAGAUUCUGCUUAAAAUAUUGGGAGUUACAUUAAGUUCAUUGGGUUGCAAGGCAAAAUAACUUAUGGAAAUAUAGUAUCUUCAAUAAAUUAUUUUCAAAUUAAUUAAUUGUUGCUGACUGAGAAUUCUUUAGAUAAAGUUUAAAAUGAAAAGUCACGAGAAAUUAAGAGAAAAAAGAAUCUUUUAUUAUUAGUAUAUUUUAUCAUAUAUGAUGUAUAUGAUGUAGUAGAACAUAAAUCUGUGGGAGGAGCAAUGGACAAGCGCCUGCCGUCUUGACGAUUACACGGCUGCAACUUGAGAUGUUGCAAGUGGCAAGUGGGCCAAGAUGCAGCCAACCAGCUAACCGACCAACCAGCCAUUAAUGAACGAAGACAAAAGUGCUACAAAGGAGUGCUCUUCUCUAUCUGGGAGUCUGAAUCGGAGGAGCUGCAGUUUUCAGGUGGGGUGAUGGGCGGGCGGGGGGCAUGGAGCUCAUCCACGUAUCCACGAGUGCCUGUGUAUCUGUGGAUAGGAGGUGCACAUUCAUAUAUCUGCAGUGGUACCUGUAUGCACCCCGGGGCAGGGUUUAAUGCUCGGAGUGUAGCAAACAAACCAGAUAGAUACCGAUGCUCUCCAUAUAGCGAACAGAAUACGGCAUUCACCAUACAGCAUACAGCCAUCAUCGACAUGCGAUGAACAUGGAACAAGUUGUACACAGAUAAUCAUAAAUAAACGAGGCACCAGCGACGAAAAAGUCCGAAAGCAGCAGCAGCGGCAGGAGCAGGAGCAGAGCGAGCGAGCACGAGCGCCGGAGCCACUAGCGCCAGUUGGGGGUUCGAUUGGCACAUCCACAUGCACAGAUACAGAUACAUCCUUCUCCGAAGCUUCAGCUAGAGCCACAUCCCUGUUGGCAAUCGUAGAAACACGGAGAACACAGAAACACAGGCAGCCAGAUAAAAAGAUACUUUUGCACGGCGACACUUGGCUCUGGCUGGCUCUUGGCCAGAACGAGAAGGACUAUAGGCCACUUGGGAAUUGUGCCCGCUCGUUGAAAUCAAUUUCGCCAACCUAAUUAGAAAGAGCGCUCAUCAAAAAUAAUAAGGGUUAAGCUUAGUAGAAUGGCCAAUUAGAUCAAACUUUUCAGAUUCUUUUCCCUUUUCCUUUUUGUUUCUUUUUUUUUGUAUCUGAGCGCCGCAAAGCGUAAUUAAAUUUAAAAGGGCAGCAACUUCUUCCCAAGCCCCAAAAACCCAUUUUCUUUACAUUUUGUUAUUUUUGGAUGGGCUGUGGUUGGAUGUACACGUAAUAAAUUUAAUCAUAAACCGA